UCCAUCAUAUACCUCAUAUAUAGUGCAUGCAGGAAAAUGUGGAGCAGUUUCCUAACUUGUGUCUUGUCAUUUGUGUGUGUGUGUGCGUGUAUGUGUGUGUGCGUGCGUGCAUGCGUGUGUACUACGUGUGCAUGUCAGUGUGUGAAUUUGUGCAGAGUGGGGGGUGGAUGCAUGUGGGAAUGUGGUUUCUUGUUUAUCUAUGUAGCUGUGCAGAAGGCGCGAGAGGGAAAGAAGGAGGGCGUGAGGGAGGGAGAGAGGGAGAAAAAGAGAGAGAGAUUUGUGAGCCAUUUGUAUUUGCAAACUCCUGGCUGAGGUCCCACUGGCGGCAGGAAGAUCGGACUGAAAGAGUGCAUGGUAGGAUUGUGCUCCUGUGUGUGUUUGUGCAUGUGUCUGGUUGAGACAUACAGAUAGAGAGGGAACGCAUUAAAUCCAUUUCAUCCAUACUGGCCCCGAACAUGGAAGUGUUGUCCAUUUCCACUACCCAACCAACAUAGAUUGCUGUUGUCCAACUUCUGGCCCCAUUGCCGGCAGAAGGAGACUGAAGACAGAGGUGCUCAUAACUCUGGAGAAGGUGGGGACGAAGAUAAAAUGAUGAUGAGCGAGUUUAUCACCAUAUCUGAGAAGCUAUUUUAAGGAAACCAGAGCCUAUGCAUCAUCAUCUUCCUCAUUCCCUCUGGUUUGCUCUCAACGUCAUUUAAACCUCAACACCAGCAUGGGUGGUAACCAAUUUUGGCACAUGGCUUGCCCUCUCAGGCCAAGAGAAACACACAAGCAGAAAGAUAAACAGCACUUAAGUUUGAAGGCUUCCAUAGUCAACCAAUUGAUGAAAGCUGAACCUAUAUCACAGAAAGAACCGAUACUGUGGCAAGUUUACAAACACCACAUCGUUUAAAUUUGGAAAUGCAGACAUUUUUAAAACAAGUGGUCUGUGUGGCAACCGGCAAGCUACUGUGGGAUUUUCCACUUGUCUGAGACAAACUGAAGCUACAGUAAGAAAAUUGGAACCAAUGGAAAUAAAUUCAGUCGCGCUUUUCAAUUUUUCUCAAAGAUUGUGAGUACGAAUUAAGAAUGUCUUGAUACCGAUCAUUUAAUUAGAAAAUGAAUCCAAUCACAUCAUUUUCAGCUGAUCAGAAUCGGGGGGAGAAUUAUUUUAAGGGUCACAAAGCAACAAAAUAAUAUAGACGUACAGAAAUAUUGCCAAAAGAAAAAAUAUGUGGAUGUACAGGUUUUAUUCGACGCAACAGUGCAACACGGCUGGAAACAAGGAGUAAACACUGCUAGUGGGGGAACAUUCUCGUAGUAGUUGUGGGAAGCUAACGUGAAGCUAGUGUCAUGUAACAUUGAUAAUGUCUCGAGUAUGUAAAUAUUUUACUAUUAUAUCACAUAUAUAUGUAUAUGUAUAUACAUAUAUACACACUAUAUAUAACCGAGAUUUGCAGUGUGUGCAAAUUGAGCAUGGGGAAUGGCAGAAAGAGCUGUGUUUACUCAACUAAUGUCUACACUUGGUUUAAGCCACACUGCUCCACUAGCUGUAAAAAACGUUUCAUGUUGGGAUAGUUUUGUUGAUUAAAAAUGGACAAUCUCGA